UUCCAUCUCUCUACUGCAGCUGGCGACCUGUCUCCUGAGCUGGCCUGAUAGAUUACAACCAACCAAAAGAAGUGUACAGCUUUUCAGGAGAUGGAAAACCAAUGAAACUUACACUUGGCCCUUGAAGAAAUGUGGGUGACUUAGGAUCCCAUACCAGGAAACCCGAUUUCUCUGCCUUCAUGAACCCUGUUCUAAGACAAACAUACAGACCAAGGCAAUAGGUAAGGCAUGAAAAUCCCUUCUCCAUAUCUGGAAUUCAAGUAGGAGCUAACUGGGUGGAAUGGGAGAAAAAAAAUAGAAGGCUUUUUUUACAACUCUAGAUCUACAGAAUACUCACUGUAGGAACAGCAGUCUUGUUGCUGUACCUGAAAAUUAAUUCCAAAGAGAAUUCAACAAGAGAAAAGCAGAGGGCCUUCUUGGUAAAAUCAUGGGAGACUGGUAAAAGGAACAUGAAUAAUGCAGGAAAAAUCCAGCAGUUAUGAAUUCUAUAAGGAGAAGGGGGAGAAGGAAAAAUACAAGAUUGUAACAGGAAGCAAAUAAAAAUAUUAACUGCAGAUCCAUGUGGGGAAAUAGUUACAUAUAGGCUUUGAAAACGCUCAAUGUUCUUCAAAACAGCAGGCUUUUAAAAAUUCUGUAAUUUCUUUAACAGAAAUUAGUGAUUUCCCUCCAUGUUUCUUUCCUUUUCUCUGUUGUUAACAAAUGCACAAUCAUAUUAAUAUUGCAAUGCAGUGUACAAACUGUUGUCGAAGGCCUUCAUGGCUGGAAUCACUGGGUUCUUGCGAGUUUUCAGGCUGUAUGGCCAUGUUCCAGAAGCAUUCUCUCCUCACGUUUCGCCCACAUCUAUACUGGCAUCCUCAGAGGUUGUGAAGUAUAUUGAUACAUACACAAUAUACCUCACAACCUCUGAGGAUGCUGGCCACAGAUGUGGGCAAAACAUCAGGAGAGAAUGCUUCUGGAACAUGGCCAUACAGCCCGGAAAACUCACAACCCAAUUUACAAACUGCUUUGUAGAACACGUUUCAACUUUGUUACAGAAAAAAAACUUCCUCACUCUGCAAUCCUCCACAUGUCUACUUAGAAAUAAGUUGCAUUAUGCUCAGUGGCAUUUACUCCCAAAUAAAUGGAUAUCAGAUUGUAUCCUAAAAAGUUCCACCCUUUACUUUGGUUUAACACACAAGUGACAUGUGGAUAGGACUGAAGCUAAAUUGGAUAGUAAGCAAGCUACAUGCGCCACCAUUUUGUACCGCUGUUCUCUGAAAUGAACAAUAGCAUGUGCUCACUCAGGAAUAAGUGGCAUUUAAAGCUAUGAAAUGUACUUCCAGAUGAAUAUAAUUACGACUAAAUUUCUUACUCAUUUAUUCUCUUUGUUUUCUAAUAUAUGAAUCAUUUUUGUAUUUGUUGUUAGUAGGGCCUCUAAUUAUCCUGACAUUUUAUGGGAACAGAAACUUUUCUUAAAAUGUAGGACAUCAUUCUUCUCCAAUUAGUCAUGACUGCUGGGGAUGAUGGAAGCUUUAAUCCAAUACUUCUGGAAAGCACCGGUUUGGCACAAAGUUAUUUUAAAAGGAAACAACUGUGCUGUAUAUAAACAAUUAUAUUAUAUUAGGUAAGGCAUUUUUAGCUGCCUGUAAAUGUACACAUUUUUGACACUAAAACAGCAAGCAGAAUCAAGUAUUCCCUCUAAAAUCUUAUGUAUUCUUUUUGCCUUCCAAAUUCCAAUGCAUUGUUAAGAUGGGACUGUUCCAAUAUGGUUGCAAAUGACUUGGUGGUUCGUAGCAAAGCUCUCAGGCUUACUGCCUGCCUCAGUCUGCAAAACUGGGGAGCUGCAGGUUAUUAUCACAUAUUAGAUGAGUUCCAGAAUUGUGACCCAUGAAACCAAAGUACUUUAUUAAAUCCAGACAGGAGCCAACUCCUGCACUAUUAUCAAUACUCAAAAAUACAUGUGAGUGAAAUCCAGUUGCUUCUCUAUGCUAGAACUUGCUCAAAUCAAUUGCCAGUAGAUAAACUUAAGUUUCAUUGAUUCAGUGGGUCUACUUUAGUUUUGAUCAGCCACUGGAUUUGAUAUGUUGCAUUACACAUUGUGGGACAUACUGAUUUUAUUGUGCUGCUUUCCCAUAUAUGUAACUAUUUUUCUUAAUCCUCGCAUUUUAACUUACUGCACUCUGAGUGUUAGGAAAAGCAGGAACUUCUCCAUUACCAUGCAUAUUUUGGGGAAUUCCCUCCAGAGAUAUACCAGAAAUACACUAUAUGUUAGUGAGAGAAACAGUACAUGAUCAGGUUAUGAUGAUACUUUGUUAGGAAAUUCAGUGACUGCAUUAACUGGAUUUGUGAUGUACUUUCCUUAAACUGUGUAAGGAGAGGUUGGAUCUCUUGCCACUUAAACCAAAGGCAGCAAACUUUCCAAAUGUUAGAAUCCAACUCCCAUUGUCCCUGCCAUUAUCAGAAUUGUGGAGCUGAUGGGAGCUGGAGUCCAACAACAUGCAGAAGGCCACAGACUUCUUUCCCUAUAUUAAACCAAAAUGCAGUGAUACAUAUUUGAAGCAAGCAUAACACUGCAACAGAAUAUUAUAAUGCUUAAGUCUCAGAACUAGUUACGAUCCCUUAGAUUCACAGGUUUUGGGAUCCAAGACUUAAUAUAAUAGUCUGCAGUAUUUUGUUGUUCUUAUUGGAACCUAAAGGUGAACCUGUCACAGGUAGAUUAAUUGGGUAGAUUAAUUCAGAUAAGUUUUGCCAUUGCCUUUCUCUGAGGCCGAGAACGUGACUUGCGCAGUGGGUUCCCGUGGCCAAACUGUAAUUUGAUUAUCGGUCUCUGGAGUCAUAGUUCAAUGGAUGUGCCAUGAAUUUAGGGACAUUUUGGGGUCCUCUAGGAUCAAUACUUUUGGAUUUUUUUCACCCUAAAAUGCUUCAAAAUGUCUUUGGAUGUAUUUCCACAAUAUUCUGUGGGGUCCCUGGGCCAACCCCCCCCCCCCCAUGCUUUGGGAACCCAAAGCAUGGGAGGGUUUGAUAUUUUUCAGGAGCACUUCAAGUUUUUUUUGGCGGAGGCUAAUGGCUAAAUUCCCAAUAUCCCCCAUCAGCACAGCUUGUGCAAGCCUCCCAAUUAAAAUACCUGGGUUUUCAUCCCAGCUCCCGAGAACUGAAAUGUGUUGUAAGAACUAAAACGUCUUGAAUUUGUUCUAUCAACUACAGGAGGUAGAUAAGACAAGAGGGGCAGAGCUGGAGAAGAGAGCUGAACAAACACAUCAGUGGGUUAGUUUUAGAUAUGUGAAAAUGUUAAAGAUGUUGUGUGAGUGGCUCCAAAGAAAACUUAAACUGUGAGGUUAAAACAUGGGGAUUUAAAGUGAACUAUUCCAUUAAACUUGGAGUCUACUCUGCUCUAAGCAGAAAGGUUAAAGUCAUAUUUUAUUUCAUUGACACUCAAAUUAAGAUUCACUGCUUCUCCAACAGCAGAAACAGCCAUUUGAGAAGUAGGAUGACACAUACUUUCAUUUUUCAUAUAUUCUUUUGUUAAUGCAUACAUGCCAAUUUAAUGCUAAUUUAAUCAAUAAAGGAACUUUUAACUUUAUUACAGAAGGGAGAGCAAGGUCUAUGCAAAGUAAGUGUGGGAGGAAGAAGGAAAGGCAAGUAAGUAUUAGUGGAUGGAAACUGGGUCCCAUCAUAACUUGUACUAUUUUGUGUAUAUAUUGUGUAUGUUGUAAAUACUUGUUCUGCAUUCCCCAAGGUAACGUAAACCCAAUGUAGACUGUUAGCCUACAUGGGUAAUGAUGGAUAUUUUGAAUGUUGUAAACCCCACACAAAAAAAAAAGCACAUCAAACCUCCCUUCCUUCUAGCAGCUCCCUGUUGUUUCCUAUGUUGGGAGCUGCCAAUGGGAUGGGGUAGGGGAGAUGAAUAGGGGAAAACCAGCUCAGAAACCAUCAGAAAUGAAUAUAGACAAUGACAAGAGCCAAGAAGAGAACCUGAAGCUGUAUUUUUAAGGACAGUGGACUCAUCCAUAAAGUAGAAAGCACUACUAAACGCCUGUGCCCAAGUGUAGUGUUUCCUACUUUAUGGAUGAGUGUACUGUGAGCAACGGAGGCAACACAAGAGAAGCAGAAUCCAGCACAAGAAUGGAAAAUGAAAGUCGGGAACACAAAGUGGAAAAUUUACAGGUUUGUCCAUGUCAUGCAUCACAUCUUGUUUAAAAUACACAUGCCCUUUGUUACACAGUUGUCACAUCACAUUCUCCUCAAAUAGUGCGAGUGAUGUUCCCAGAUAUAGGUUAUGCUUGCAAUGUGUAACACUGAACUCAAAUAAAAUGGAGCAGGAGGGACAAGACUCCAAGACAGAUACAAUUUACUGGCACAAAAAAUAUGUCUGAAAAUUAUUCUGCCUCUGCUUUUUUCCCUCACCUCAAUUUGCUAUUACCUCUUCCACACAUAGCAUAACAAUGAGUGACACUGACCAACCUGCUAUAUAUCUACAUUUAAUAAGCGGAAGGAACUAGGGUGUCUGUUGCAUUUGCUUAGUCAGAAAGAGAGCCCAAAAUCAGGAUUUUGUCAUAUUUACUUCCUUCAUUAAAUAACCUCCAUUUACAGCCAUGCAAACAACACACUUUUAAAGAACAGGGAGUUGACUGGGUGGUCUGUCACAGUGAAACUGGAGAUGCCUUAAAGCAGUGGUUCUCAACCUGUGGGUCCCCAGAUGUUUUGGCCUUCAACUCCCAGAAAUCCUAACAGCUGGUAAAAUGGCUGGGAUUUCUGGGAGUUGUAGGUCAAAGCACAUGGGGACUCACAGGUUGAAAACCACUGCCUUAAAGGUUGCAUGGUUGUUCUUAUCACACAACCAUGUAGCAAGCAGCACCUGAUAAUAUUUUGUCUCCUAUAUAGAUAUUAAAGGUACAGGAACCAUCUCCAGUUCUGAAUUUGACAAGCCUAACUGGAGGGACUGGUUACCAUCACUGUUUAUGUGGAUUAGUUGUGCAUAUGCUUCUGAAAAUAGGGGGAGUUGAUACUGCUGUUACAUUUGUAUUUAAUGUCCACAACCAUGAUUAAAAGCAAAUCCAAACACA